rnacentral:rRNA from 1 species
AUGAACGCUAGCUACAGGCUUAACACAUGCAAGUCGAGGGGCAUCAGGAAGAAAGCUUGCUUUCUUUGCUGGCGACCGGCGCACGGGUGAGUAACACGUAUCCAACCUGCCCUUUACUCGGGGAUAGCCUUUCGAAAGAAAGAUUAAUACCCGAUAGCAUAAUGAUUCCGCAUGGUUUCAUUAUUAAAGGAUUCCGGUAAAGGAUGGGGAUGCGUUCCAUUAGGUUGUUGGUGAGGUAACGGCCCACCAAGCCUUCGAUGGAUAGGGGUUCUGAGAGGAAGGUCCCCCACAUUGGAACUGAGACACGGUCCAAACUCCUACGGGAGGCAGCAGUGAGGAAUAUUGGUCAAUGGGCGCUAGCCUGAACCAGCCAAGUAGCGUGAAGGAUGAAGGCUCUAUGGGUCGUAAACUUCUUUUAUAUAAGAAUAAAGUGCAGUAUGUAUACUGUUUUGUAUGUAUUAUAUGAAUAAGGAUCGGCUAACUCCGUGCCAGCAGCCGCGGUAAUACGGAGGAUCCGAGCGUUAUCCGGAUUUAUUGGGUUUAAAGGGAGCGUAGGUGGACUGGUAAGUCAGUUGUGAAAGUUUGCGGCUAAACCGUAAAAUUGCAGUUGAUACUGUCAGUCUUGAGUACAGUAGAGGUGGGCGGAAUUCGUGGUGUAGCGGUGAAAUGCUUAGAUAUCACGAAGAACUCCGAUUGCGAAGGCAGCUCACUGGACUGCAACUGACACUGAUGCUCGAAAGUGUGGGUAUCAAACAGGAUUAGAUACCCUGGUAGUCCACACAGUAAACGAUGAAUACUCGCUGUUUGCGAUAUACAGUAAGCGGCCAAGCGAAAGCAUUAAGUAUUCCACCUGGGGAGUACGCCGGCAACGGUGAAACUCAAAGGAAUUGACGGGGGCCCGCACAAGCGGAGGAACAUGUGGUUUAAUUCGAUGAUACGCGAGGAACCUUACCCGGGCUUAAAUUGCAGUGGAAUGAUGUGGAAACAUGUCAGUGAGCAAUCACCGCUGUGAAGGUGCUGCAUGGUUGUCGUCAGCUCGUGCCGUGAGGUGUCGGCUUAAGUGCCAUAACGAGCGCAACCCUUAUCUUUAGUUACUAACAGGUCAUGCUGAGGACUCUAGAGAGACUGCCGUCGUAAGAUGUGAGGAAGGUGGGGAUGACGUCAAAUCAGCACGGCCCUUACGUCCGGGGCUACACACGUGUUACAAUGGGGGGUACAGAAGGCAGCUAGCGGGUGACCGUAUGCUAAUCCCAAAAGCCUCUCUCAGUUCGGAUCGAAGUCUGCAACCCGACUUCGUGAAGCUGGAUUCGCUAGUAAUCGCGCAUCAGCCACGGCGCGGUGAAUACGUUCCCGGGCCUUGUACACACCGCCCGUCAAGCCAUGGGAGCCGGGGGUACCUGAAGUACGUAACCGCAAGGAUCGUCCUAGGGUAAAACUGGUGACUGGGGCU